UACGUAGGGUGCAAGCGUUGUCCGGAAUUAUUGGGCGUAAAGAGCUCGUAGGCGGUUUGUCGCGUCUGCUGUGAAAACUCGGGGCUUAACUCCGGGCCUGCAGUGGGUACGGGCAGACUAGAGUGCGGUAGGGGAGACUGGAAUUCCUGGUGUAGCGGUGAAAUGCGCAGAUAUCAGGAGGAACACCGAUGGCGAAGGCAGGUCUCUGGGCCAUAACUGACGCUGAGAAGCGAAAGCAUGGGGAGCGAACGGG
rnacentral:rRNA from 1 species